GACGAACGCUGGCGGCGUGCUUAACACAUGCAAGUCGAACGGAAAGGCCCUGCUUUUGUGGGGUGCUCGAGUGGCGAACGGGUGAGUAACACGUGAGUAACCUGCCCUUGACUUUGGGAUAACUUCAGGAAACUGGGGCUAAUACCGGAUAGGAGCUCCUGCUGCAUGGUGGGGGUUGGAAAGUUUCGGCGGUUGGGGAUGGACUCGCGGCUUAUCAGCUUGUUGGUGGGGUAGUGGCUUACCAAGGCUUUGACGGGUAGCCGGCCUGAGAGGGUGACCGGCCACAUUGGGACUGAGAUAGGGCCCAGACUCCUACGGGAGGCAGCAGUGGGGAAUAUUGCACAAUGGGCGGAAGCCGGAUGCAGCAACGCCGCGUGCGGGAUGACGGCCUUCGGGUUGUAAACCGCUUUCGCCUGGGACGAAGCGUGAGUGACGGUAAUGGGUAAAGAAGCACCGGCUAACUACGUG
rnacentral:rRNA from 1 species